GGAUCCUAGGUGGGCGGGGUGGAGGGGGGAGGAGCCGCUGUCGGCCGGUCAGCUCAAUUUGUAACGCCUUUCUGGAAGUUUACUGUUUAAAGAACACCUGUUUCCCUCCGUGAAGUGCUGCGCAGGAUGAAUUCCAGGUUUCGUUUACCUACACUGUGUUCUGAAGCAGUGAUUGGGCUGCGAGUCUGAUAGCUGUAUAUCAAAAUCUCUUGCCUUCCGAUGAAAAUGACUGAAGGAUGGACAAAAAAAUCAGAAGGUGGAACAAACUAAUCUAUUGUUCUUGAUCACUCAUACUCUCUGCUUCUGCAGACCAGGGAACGGACACCAUCUCUUUCUUAAAAACUCAUAGCUAGUUAAAAGAGACCCACAUUUUUUCAACUUCAGUUGCUUCUGAACAUGCCAGCUCCCCCUUCCAUCCAAUGUAAGAUAUCCUUUAAAAAUAACGGAGUGAAUUCCAGCCUCCUGCAUGGAAGCUGAACUGAUAAAAAUGGGUCAAUACUAUUAAAGUACUUACAAUGCCAA